CCGGUGUAGCGGUGAAAUGCGCAGAUAUCGGGAGGAACACCGGUGGCGAAGGCGGUUCUCUGGGCCUGUUCUGACGCUGAGGAGCGAAAGCGUGGGGAGCGAACAGGAUUAGAUACCCUGGUAGUCCACGCCGUAAACGUUGGGCGCUAGGUGUGGGUCCCUUCCACGGGGUCUGUGCCGCAGCUAACGCAUUAAGCGCCCCGCCUGGGGAGUACGGCCGCAAGGCUAAAACUCAAAGGAAUUGACG
rnacentral:rRNA from 1 species